rnacentral:rRNA from 1 species
UACGUAGGUGACCAGCGUUGUCCGGAUUUACUGGGCGUAAAGAGCUCGUAGGCGGUUGGGUAAGUCGGGUGUGAAAACUCAGGGCUCAACUCUGAGACGCCACUCGAUACUGCCCUGACUCGAGUCCGGUAGGGGAGCGUGGAAUUCCCGGUGUAGCGGUGAAAUGCGCAGAUAUCGGGAGGAACACCAGUGGCGAAGGCGGCGCUCUGGGCCGGAACUGACGCUGAGGAGCGAAAGCGUGGGUAGCAAACAGG